GAUGAACGCUGGCGGCGUGCCUAAUACAUGCAAGUCGAGCGAACGGACGAGGAGCUUGCUCCUCUGACGUUAGCGGCGGACGGGUGAGUAACACGUGGAUAACCUACCUAUAAGACUGGGAUAACUUCGGGAAACCGGAGCUAAUACCGGAUAAUAUUUUGAACCGCAUGGUUCAAUAGUGAAAGACGGUCUUGCUGUCACUUAUAGAUGGAUCCGCGCCGCAUUAGCUAGUUGGUAAGGUAACGGCUUACCAAGGCAACGAUGCAUAGCCGACCUGAGAGGGAGAACGGCCACCCUGGUACGGAAACACGGUCACGACACCAGCGGGAGGGAGCAUAAGGGAAGCCACCGCAGUGGGGAAAAGCAUGACGGGGCAACUCAGCGUGAGUGUUGUAUGUCUUCGGAUCGUAAUACUCUGUUAUUAGAGCAGGACAAAUGUGUAAGUAACUAUGCACUGCUUGACGGUACCUAAUCAGAAUGCCAAGGCUGACUACGAU
rnacentral:rRNA from 1 species